rnacentral:rRNA from 1 species
GAUGAACGCUAGCUACAGGCUUAACACAUGCAAGUCGAGGGACCGGCGCACGGGGGAGUAACACGUAUACAACCUGCCCUUAACUCGGGGAUAGCCUUUCGAAAGAAAGAUUAAUACUCGAUAUAAAGGAUGGGGAUGCGUUGCAUUAGGUUGUUGGUGAGGUAACGGCCCACCAAGCCUGCGAAGGAUAGGGGAUCUGGUAGGAGGGUCCCCCGCAUUGGAGCUACGACCCGGACCAAACUCCUACGGGAGGCUGCAGGAAUGUAGACUGGGCAAUGAGCGUUAACCUUGCCCAGCCGAGUGACGUGAGAAAGGAAGCCUUAUGGGACGUAAACUUCUUUUAAAGAAGAAUAUGUAUUAUAUGAAUAAGGAUCGGCUAACUCCGUGCCAGCAGCCGCGGUAAUUC